GCAUGGGUGCCCGAGCGGCCAAAGGGGAAGGACUUAAGAUCCUUUGGCAUAGGCCUUCGAGGGUUCGAAUCCCUUCCCAUGCAC
rnacentral:tRNA from 1 species